CUGUGUUUUGAGAUUGAGAGAAAAAUAGAACCUGAUGACUCUUCACUUUGGUUUCUGUAUUCUUGUGGGCAAAGCCUUCACCUUAGUGAUUUCAUGAGGUGCUCACACGAGACCAAUUAGGAGAAACUGCAAGAGUGAACACCCCAGUAUUCUGCAAGUAGUGGAAAGUAGCAUUUUAACAGCACAAGGACAUUGGUAAAGGUGGUAGAAGAAUUGCCCCAAGAAGAAAUUAGUAUUGACAGCAGUUGAGGAAAUGUAAUGCCUUGUAAAUACAGAAAUGCAAGAGCAACUCCACAGCCAAGAUCCAGGUACCCCAGGAUUUCCAUCUCUGACACCA